CUAUGUAAACAAGCGGAAUAAAACUACAGCGCCUGUCUACGUAAAUGAGGAAUCUCCAAAACGGUUUGCUGUUGUAUCCUGAAUAGGUCGCAAUUUUACACAAAUUGCUGAAGUUGACCAGCACGGACUACACCACCCAGCCCCUGGCUGUCUGACGUCCUUCGUGAACAUCGGACUGAUCUCAGGGCAGCUGAGAGGAGAUGGUGUAAAUCUAAAGAUCCAGCCGAUCUAG